AUACGUAGGGUGCGAGCGUUGUCCGGAAUUACUGGGCGUAAAGAGCUCGUAGGUGGUUUGUCGCGUCGUCUGUGAAAUUCCGGGGCUUAACUCCGGGCGUGCAGGCGAUACGGGCAUAACUUGAGUACUGUAGGGGAGACUGGAAUUCCUGGUGUAGCGGUGAAAUGCGCAGAUAUCAGGAGGAACACCGGUGGCGAAGGCGGGUCUCUGGGCAGUAACGGACGCUGAGGAGCGAAAGCAUGGGUAGCGAACAGGAUUAGAUACCCUGGUAGUCCAUGCCGUAAACGGUGGGCGCUAGGUGUAGGGGUCUUGCACGACUUCUGUGCCGUAGCAAACGCAUUAAGCGCCCCGCCUGGGGAGUACGGCCGCGAGGCUAAAACUCAAAUGAAUUGGCGGGG
rnacentral:rRNA from 1 species